GACAGAGGGUGCAAACGUUGUUCGGAAUUACUGGGCGUAAAGCGCGUGUAGGCGGUCCAUUAAGUCGGGUGUGAAAGCCCUGGGCUCAACCCAGGAAGUGCACUCGAAACUGGCGGGCUAGAGUAUCGGAGAGGUUGGUGGAAUUCUCGGUGUAGAGGUGAAAUUCGUAGAUAUCGAGAGGAACACCGGUGGCGAAGGCGGCCAACUGGACGAAUACUGACGCUGAGACACGAAAGCGUGGGGAGCAAACAGG
rnacentral:rRNA from 1 species